GACAGAGGCCCCGAGCGUUAGGCGGAAUCACUGGGCUUAAAGCGUGUGUAGGCGGAUCGUUAAGUGUCUUGUGAAAUCCCACGGCUCACCCGUGGAACCGCUGGGCAUACUGGCGAUCUUGGGCCGUUCAGGGGCGACUGGAACAAGCGGUGGAGCGGUGAAAUGCGUAGAUAUCGCUUGGAACGCCGAAGGUGAAAACAGGUCGCUGGGGACGCGCCGACGCUGAGACACGAAAGCCAGGGGAGCAAACGGG
rnacentral:rRNA from 1 species